rnacentral:rRNA from 1 species
CACCGCGGUCAUACAAGAGACCCAAAUUAACCGUAUGCGGCGUAAAGAGUGGUCCCAUGAUAUCACAGCAACUAGGACUGAAAUGCAACUAGGCUGUCAUAAGCUCAAGAUGCACUUAAAGCCACCUUUAAAAUGAUCCUAGCAUCUCUGAUUAAUUUAACUCCACGAAAGCUAGGGCA